rnacentral:snoRNA from 1 species
CAAAAGAAACCGUACAUUCCUCAGAACAGGUAUUAUUGUAGUGGAUUUGUGACAUCCCAGACAAUAUCUUCUCUACAACCUGGUUCGAGAUAAAAAGCUAAUGCGCGAUCAUAUUUGUUAUUCGAUUUUGCCAAAUAGUUCCUUGUGUGCUAUUU